CAUGAAUUUAUUUGAAUGAAAAUAUCAUUGCACAAAAUGUUGCCAACAAUGUCAUCACUUCUCCUUUUGGCAUGGGAGAAGGGUUUUUAAACAAAGUGAUUGUUACUCUGACUUAUGAACAACUGUGGGAACGCCCACAGUGACCCGAUUGUGACAGACACCACCAGGAAUGAUGAAAUUGUUCAAGUCCUCUGCGUCCUCUUCCAAGACAGCAGCAUCCUCUUCUUCAGGUUGAUCGUCAUGGAUGAAUCCUCCCCUCUUGAACAGACCUUGCUCAU
rnacentral:lncRNA from 1 species